UUCAAAUGUAAAUCCCAAAGGGUAUAGGUUACUCGCAAAUGGCUUAUUGUACCCAGAACUGGCAGGACCUUUUGGAAUAGGGCAUAACAAGUCAGCCGUAUAGCCAUUUGCGGAACAGAAUGACAAACAUCAAGCUGGUAUUAUCACAAGAGGGUGUUUAUGAAUAAGACAUGGACCACGACGAAAUCAGCCUAUCAGGAAAGUCCAACCUAGAGGCCACGCCCACCGCGUCCAACGAUAACACUCUGGUGAUGGAGAAGAACCAAUGGCAAGAGACAGUAGUCGAUGACACGCCUACAAUCAAAAGCAACCCAGCUGCAAGUGAGGGUGAUUCUGCUGCCGCUCCGACGUCAAAGUUCACUUUCCACCAGAAGAUCACCUUUCUUAGCGUGGCUCUGACCUCGCUCUCAACUUGGUCCACCUACUCCGUCAUUGCAGUCUUUUUUCCGACAGAGGCUGCAGCGAAAGGAAUGUCACCAACGGUCGUCGGCCUUGUGUUCAGCAGCUUUUCCGUCGCGUCUGGAAUAAGUGCGCCCAUCUUUGGCAAAGUUCUGCCGCUUUUUGGUGCCCGUUUUGUAUUUCUGGCGGGAGCGUUUGUUACCGGCGGUUGCAAUUUAUUGUUCGGUUUUCUUGAGAAUAUGGCUCCUGGAGCGACUUUUACUGCAUUCUGUUUUGCCAUACGGACCCUAGAGGGACUUGGAUCGUCCGCCUGUAACACUGCCAGUGGUGCCAUCAUCAGCUUCACCUUUCCAGAAAAUGUCGGCGCUGCAAUGAGUUUGUUAGAAUGUGUCAUCGGAAUGUCGUUUGCAAUUGGACCUGCAAUGGGUGGACUGAUCUAUAAUGCGGGCGGUUUCAAGCUCCCGUUCUUUGUUCUUGGAGGGCUGGUCUUGGUCUGUUUUGCAAUCAAUUACUUCCUGAUGCCCGAUCAUGCGAGUGAACAUGAGGAAAGUGGGUCAAUGGUGCAAGUUUUGAAGAUACCAGCUAUUUGGGUGCUGUUACUUUUCCUUUGUACAAGCACGGUCGGUUUCUCAUCAAUGGACCCAGUAUUGUCGCCUCAUCUUCAACAGCUUGGUUAUGGCGUUGUUGGCAGAAGCUUAACGUUCGCAGCCUUUGGAGCCUUCUACGCCUUCUCUGCGAUCCCGUUGGGUUACAUCGUUGAUAAAAAGGGGUGCACCAGAACCCUAAUGGUUUUGGGAGCGUUCGGCACUGUGAUAGGUUUCCUUUUACUGGGGCCUUCUCCCCUCCUUAACAUUACUCCAUCCGUGGUUUUAAUUGGUGUGGUUUUACCAUUUAUCGCGAUUAUGCUAGCCAUGAUGACUAUCCCAACAUUGCCAGACAUGCUCAUCACAGCAAAAUGGUAUGGAGUUCCUGAUAAUCUGGGACUGAUCGGUAUUGUAUCAGGUCUGUGGAAUGCAGUCAUGUCUUUCGGGUACGUCAGUCAAUCACGGAUCCUAGACACCAGGAUAAACGACUCGGACGCUCCAGCCAGACGGAAUUGUGGGAGCAAUGCUGGGUCCUAUUGUCAGUGGUACCUUGACUGAUCACUACGGAUUUGAAUAUUUUACAACAGUAAUCGCAAGUUGGUUUGUUGUUGUUAUGCUGAUCGGUUGUUUCUUUGGAGUCUGGGAGUACAGAUGUGGAAAGGGGAGGAGAUUGCCGAAAGAAGGGGUUGGUGUGAAGGCUAGCUCGACAGAAGAAGAAAAGGUGUUGCUUCUUUCGGAAGAAGCUUAAAAUGUUCUGUUUCUGUCCUCUUUUGUAUGAGUUCAUGCAUCUCUUUAAUAUUUUGAAGGUUGUUUUAAUCUACAUAUUUUGCGCAACGUUCGAGCGAAUAAAACAAAUGAGAGUGCCUUUAUGAUCGGUUACUUCGCAUAAACAUGUACUUUGUUGUUUUGUUAAUUCCAAGCUACUUGCAUUGAAAAGGCUGUGUUGCAUUUCUCAACAACACAUUGUUUUGCAUAGUUUUGGAUGAUUUAUGUGCGAAGUCAGUUUCAAUGGGAACCAUUUAGAGUGCGAGCAUAAAAUUAGUUAUGCCGUUAAAAUGUUUAUUAACACAACAUUACUUUAUAGAGUUUUGUGAAUAUUUUAUGUUGUAUGUGACAGCUGAUAUUAUGCAGUUCGAUUCAUAGUUAAAUGCCGUAGAACUAAAGUUUGUUCAAAACAACGGGUUUUCUUUUUAUCUUGUUUCAAUAAUUAUCCUCUGUGUUAAUGUUGUCUGCGUUUACAAAGCUUCUAAAAGAUUUUCUGCAAAUGUGUGAUUUGUUAUUGAUAUGGUUACGGCGGUAGUCGUGUGGUACUUGUUAUUGAUAUGUUAUUGAUAUGGUUAUGGGUGUGGAUGUAUGUGAUAUUGGUAUUGACGUGCAUGUAAUUGAUAAUAAUGGAGUUUGGGUAUUGGUAUUGGUUAUGGGUAAGGAUAGCUGUAAAAGAUAUAGGUUAUGAUUAACUAGAAACAUAUGAUUUUGCGGGAAUCGAUUUGAUAAUAUAUGAUCUUCAUUUUAUCUAGUGCGCGUCAAAUCACGUGACCCUUCCUUCCGGUCGAAACCGGAAGUGCCUAAUGAUUUGAAAGUGGAAACAGAUUUGAACUUGCUUUCCACGAUGUUAGUCUGUGGGUGGAUUGACCUUUCAAAAAAAUAAAGAUCGGUGACGCCAUGAAGUGUUCGAGCGAUCAGCUUUCGAUCUUAAACUGUAAGUUGUUAAAUAUCAGUAUUUCCAUUUGUGGACAGGUUCUAUUUACGAGGUUAAGAACUGAAAACGGUAUUUUUUUUCUCGGGACUCAUUUUAUAAGGAUGCAGUAGUUGCCUGCGCCUGUCAAAUCACGAUUUGCAUGCCCUCAAAUUCUCAGGUAUUAGAGCAUUUUGUGGGCCAUAAACUUUGUUUACAUACAUGUAUCAUGAUAUUUCAUCCCUAAAUCUCGUUAAGAACAUUUGGUAAAAACGUUUUGAUAGUAAUUUAUUAUCGCCUUGACACCUGAUAAAACGUAUCAAUUAAAAUCACGUUAUUAAAAAGUGUGUAUAUAAAAUCAUAGUUCAUCCCUAAAUCUUGUUUAAAACAUUUGGUAAUAACUUUUGAUAAUAUCGCUUCAACAAACCUGAUAAAACGUCAAAUUUGAGGCAUUCAAAUCACGUUAUUAAAUUAUUUAUUUUUAUAUCAUGAUAUUUCUAUAUAGUCAAUAAAAUGUUAUUAGGUGUUGGGCUGGACUUGACAGCCCAACACCUACUGUUUUUGUACGAA
rnacentral:misc_RNA from 1 species